rnacentral:rRNA from 1 species
UACGAAGGGUGCAAGCGUUAAUCGGAAUUACUGGGCGUAAAGCGUGCGUAGGCGGUUUCUUAAGUCUGCUGUGAAAGCCCCGGGCUCAACCUGGGAAUGGCGGUGGAUACUGAGAAGCUGGAGUACGGUAGAGGAAGGUGGAAUUCCCGGUGUAGCGGUGAAAUGCGUAGAGAUCCGGAAGAACACCGGUGGCGAAGGCGGUCUGCUGGGGUAAUGCUGACACUGAGGCGCGACAGCGUGGGGAGCAAACAGG